rnacentral:rRNA from 1 species
GUCCACGAUGUAAACGAUGGGCGCUUGGUGUGGGGGGUUUUUAAUCCCUCCGUGCCGCAGCUAACGCAUUAAGCGCCCCGCCUGGGGACUACGGCCGCAAGGUUAAAACUCAAAGGAAUUGACGGGGGCCCGCACAAGCGGUGGAGCAUGUGGUUUAAUUCGACGCAACGCGAAGAACCUUACCUGGGCUUGACAUGUGAGGAACCUCAGGGAAACCUGGGGGUGCCCAGCAAUGGGAACCUCAGCACAGGUGCUGCAUGGCUGUCGU